rnacentral:rRNA from 1 species
UACGAAGGUGGCUAGCGUUGUUCGGAAUCACUGGGCGUAAAGCGCGCGUAGGCGGCAAUACAAGUCAGAGGUGAAAUGCCGGGGCUUAACCCCGGAACUGCCUUUGAAACUGUAUUGCUAGAGUCUCGGAGGGGAUAGCGGAAUUCCUAAUGUAGAGGUGAAAUUCGUAGAUAUUAGGAGGAACACCUGUGGCGAAGGCGGCUAUCUGGACGAGUACUGACGCUGAGGCGCGAAAGCGUGGGGAUCAAACAGG